CCUACGGGAGACAGCAGUGAGGAAUAUUGGUCAAUGGACGGGAGUCUGAACCAGCCAAGUAGCGUGAAGGAUGACUGCCCUAUGGGUUGUAAACUUCUUUUAUAUGGGAAUAAAAUGUUCCACGUGUGGGAGUUUGUAUGUACCAUAUGAAUAAGAACCGGCUAAUUCCGUGCCAGCAGCCGCGGUAAUACGGGGGGUCCGAGCGUUAUCCGGAUUUAUUGGGUUUAAGGGGAGCGUGGGUGGAAUGUGAGUCCAGUGGUGAAAGCUUGCGGCUGAAGCGGGGAAUUGCAGUUGAAACUGGCUGGCUUGAGUGCGGUAGAGGUGGGAGGAAUUCGUGGUGUAGCGGUGAAAUGCUUAGAUAUCACGAAGAACACCGAUUGCGAAGGCAGCUCAC
rnacentral:rRNA from 1 species